UACGUGGGGGGCAAGCGUUGUUCGGAAUUACUGGGCGUAAAGGGCUCGUAGGUGGCCAACUAAGUCAGACGUGAAAUCCCUCGGCUUAACCGGGGAACUGCGUCUGAUACUGGAUGGCUUGAGUUCGGGAGAGGGAUGCGGAAUUCCAGGUGUAGCGGUGAAAUGCAUAGAUAUGUCACAGAACACCGAUUGCGAAGGCAGCUUACUAUGGUAUUAUUGACGCUGAGGCACGAAAGCGUGGGGAUCAAACAGG
rnacentral:rRNA from 1 species